CGGACGGGUGAGUAACACGUGGAUAACCUACCUAUAAGACUGGGAUAACUUCGGGAAACCGGAGCUAAUACCGGAUAAUAUAUUGAACCGCAUGGUUCAAUAGUGAAAGACGGUUUUGCUGUCACUUAUAGAUGGAUCCGCGCCGCAUUAGCUAGUUGGUAAGGUAACGGCUUACCAAGGCAACGAUGCGUAGCCGACCUGAGAGGGUGAUCGGCCACACUGGAACUGAGACACGGUCCGAGACUCCUACGGGAGGGCAGCAGGC
rnacentral:rRNA from 1 species